GACGAACGCUGGCGGCGUGCUUAACACAUGCAAGUCGAACGGAAAGGCCCUGCUUUUGUGGGGUGCUCGAGUGGCGAACGGGUGAGUAACACGUGAGUAACCUGCCCUUGACUUUGGGAUAACUUCAGGAAACUGGGGCUAAUACCGGAUAGGAGCUCCUGCUGCAUGGUGGGGGUUGGAAAGUUUCGGCGGUUGGGGAUGGACUCGCGGCUUAUCAGCUUGUUUGUGGGGUAGUGGCUUACCAAGGCUUUGACGGGUAGCCGGCCUGAGAGGGUGACCGGCCACAUUGGGACUGAGAUACGGCCCAGACUCCUACGGGAGGCAGCAGUGGGGAAUAUUGCACAAUGGGCGGAAGCCUGAUGCAGCAACGCCGCGUGCGGGAUGACGGCCUUCGGGUUGUAAACCGCUUUCGCCUGUGACGAAGAGUGAGUGACGGUAAUGGGUAAAGAAGCAACGGCUAACUACGUG
rnacentral:rRNA from 1 species